rnacentral:tRNA from 1 species
CAAAAUAUAGCUUAACUAAAGCAUCUCGCUUACACCGAGAAAACGUUUGUUAGAUCCAAACUAUUUUGA